rnacentral:rRNA from 1 species
AUUGAACGCUGGCGGCAUGCCUUACACAUGCAAGUCGAACGGCAGCACGGGUGCUUGCCCCUGGUGGCGAGUGGCGAACGGGUGAGUAAUACAUCGGAACAUGUCCUGUAGUGGGGGAUAGCCCGGCGAAAGCCGGAUUAAUACCGCAUACGAUCUACGGAUGAAAGCGGGGGACCUUCGGGCCUCGCGCUAUAGGGUUGGCCGAUGGCUGAUUAGCUAGUUGGUGGGGUAAAGGCCUACCAAGGCGACGAUCAGUAGCUGGUCUGAGAGGACGACCAGCCACACUGGGACUGAGACACGGCCCAGACUCCUACGGGAGGCAGCAGUGGGGAAUUUUGGACAAUGGGCGAAAGCCUGAUCCAGCAACGCCGCGUGUGUGAAGAAGGCCUUCGGGUUGUAGAGCACUUUUGUCCGGAAAGAAAUCCUUGGCCCUAAUACGGUCGGGGGAUGACGGUACCGGAAGAAUAAGCACCGGCUAACUACGUG